UGGGGAAUAUUGUACAAUGGGCGAAAGCCUGAUGCAGCAACGCCGCGUGAGUGAUGAAGGUCUUCGGAUUGUAAAGCUCUGUCUUUUGGGACGAUAAUGACGGUACCAAAGGAGGAAGCCACGGCUAACUACGUGCCAGCAGCCGCGGUAAUACGUAGGUGGCGAGCGUUGUCCGGAUUUACUGGGCGUAAAGGGUGCGUAGGCGGAUGUUUAAGUGAGAUGUGAAAUGACCCGGGCUUAACUUGGGUGCUGC
rnacentral:rRNA from 1 species